rnacentral:rRNA from 1 species
ACGAACGCUGGCGGUGUGCUUAACACAUGCCAGUCGAACGGUAAGGCCCUUUCGGGGGUACACGAGUGGCGAACGGGUGAGUAACACGUGAGUAACCUGCCCUCAUCUCUGGGAUAACAGUCGGAAACGGUUGCUAAUACUGGAUAUGAGCUUGCAAGGCAUCUUGUGGGUUGGAAAGAUUUUUUUGGUUGGGGAUGGACUCGCGGCCUAUCAGCUUGUUGGUGAGGUAGUGGCUCACCAAGGCUUCGACGGGUAGCCGGCCUGAGAGGGCGACCGGCCACAUUGGGACUGAGAUACGGCCCAAACUCCUACGGGAGGCAGCAGUGGGGAAUAUUGCACAAUGGACGGAAGUCUGAUGCAGCAACGCCGCGUGCGGGAUGACGGCCUUCGGGUUGUAAACCGCUUUCAAUUGUGACGAAGCUUUUUGUGACGGUAGCAGUAGAAGAAGCACCGGCUAACUACGUG